GCGGAUGUGGUGGAAUUGGCAGACACGCAAGAUUUAGGUUCUUGUGCCCUGUGGCGUGCAGGUUCAAGUCCUGUUAUCCGCA
rnacentral:tRNA from 1 species